rnacentral:rRNA from 1 species
UACGUAGGGUGCGAGCGUUAAUCGGAAUUACUGGGCGUAAAGCGUGCGCAGGCGGUUUUGUAAGCCAGAUGUGAAAUCCCCGGGCUCAACCUGGGAAUGGCAUUUGGGACUGCAAGGCUCGAGUGCGGCAGAGGAGACUGGAAUUCCUGGUGUAGCAGUGAAAUGCGUAGAUAUCAGGAGGAACACCGAUGGCGAAGGCAGGUCUCUGGGCUGACACUGACGCUCAUGCACGAAAGCGUGGGGAGCAAACGGG